GGUCCGCUGGCUCAAUGGCAGAGCGUCUGACUACGAUUGUACGACUCACUCCUCCUCUGGGAUAUCGAGGGAGAUCUGAUCAAGUUAUCAGGAGGUUCCAGGUUCGACCCCUGGGUGGAUCG
rfam:Chaetomium globosum CBS 148.51 scaffold_4 genomic scaffold, whole genome shotgun sequence.